GGAUGUUUUUUUUAUUCGAGGCUAGAAGACCGCAAUUCAGUGAUGCGACACCGCUGUAUUUUUUCCCGUGUGAACUCGACCGGGACAUAAAAUAGGGCAUCCCAGCUGCACCCGAGAGGCACCGAGCGAAGGAGACGGCGCCGUUCCUUCCUGCUUCCCCCACUGCCUUUGGGCCCCGCCGCCGCCCGCACGCGACAUGGCGCCGCCCGCCUCGCCCCGCCCUCCCGCCUCCCACGUGACGCGACGCCGCUGCCGCCAUGUUGAGUGAGGGCAAUGAGGCCUCCUCCGUAACUUGAGUGCGGGGAUGCCAAGGAGAAGGAAGACCGCGGAGGGCCCUGACUCUCGAGGUCAGGAUGGAGAGGAAGAGGAGGAAGAGAAGAGGCGUGCAGCCAAGAAGAAGCGCAGCUUUGUGGACGCCUUUAUUGUUAUCUCUGACAGCGAUGGAGAGCAGGAGUCAAAGGAAGACAGCGGAUUGCAAACGAAAAGAGCAAAACAGCAGCUGGAUAGAACGAAGUUUGCUGCUAAAAGAAAAAUUGCACAGAUGACUGAAGAGGAACAGUUUGCACUGGCCCUGAAAAUGAGUGAGCAAGAAGCCAGACAAGUGAACUGUCAGGAAGAGGAGGAAGAGGAACUCUUGAGGAAGGCCAUUGCUGAGAGCCUAAAUAGCUGUCAGCCCUUGGAUUCCUCCAGUGCAACCCCGCAGUUGUCUGUGGAAGUGCUGGACGCACAAGGCCAAAGCCACCCCGCUGAGCAAGAGGGCUGUGGGAUCCUGGGAGGCCUGGCGCCUUGCCCUGACACCCCUCGCUCCAAGGGCAGCUCCCACUCACAGAGCAGCAGAGCUGAUGGGAGUGGACAGAUGGAUGUUGCCCGGAGCCCCCUGGUAGUGUUGAGGAGGUUAAGCCAGGAAAUCGUUGAAAGCUCACUAGUAUCCAGCAUAAUCGUGUCUCCGGGGAAGAGCCAGCCUCUGACAAGGUCAAGUGAAAAGUCUUCCUCGCCACCUAAGAAUGAUUCUAGUAACAUGUUACCCAGCACCCUGAGAGAGGACCUCAUCUCUCUGAGUCCCACCUUUGGCAGGGUUCCUUCAGGUUCCUGGCGGCUGACACCUCGCAGACUGUUCACAGGCUCCUCCGGCCCUUCCAAAGCAGCAGACCACGAACCACAAGAGCAGCCCCUGCCCAGCUCUGGCCAUUCUGCGGGAGAAGCCAGUGCUGGGAGCUCAGCCCAGCUCUUGAAGAGCUGUACCACAGAGCAGGGUGGCAGCCCCAGGAUGAGUGGUGCUGGGGCAGGUACUAAGCACACCCAAAAAUCCAGGCGUGCUGCCACGGUCUGUGUUACCACAGAGCAAGCAGAGCAAAACGAGGUGUCCGACUCUUCUGAGCUUUGCAUGCUGAACGUGGCAGAGGAGAAGCACAAGGAGGAGGUGAGAGACACGGUGCACUACUACUGGGGAAUCCCAUUCUGCCCCAAAGGGGUGGACCCCAACCAGUACACCAGUGUCAUCUUGUGUCAGCUGGAGGUUUACCAGAAAAGCUUGAAGCAGGCUCAGAGGCGGCUAUUGCAUAAGAAGGAGUUUGGUAACCCAAUUGUGCCCAGUUCGUCCUUAAGCCAAAAUGAGCUCGAGAAAGGAGAAGAGAUAAGCAGAGAAAAUGGGGUUGUUGAUGGCACAGAAGAUGGAGAUCCAGGCACUCAGAAGGAGUGUGAGAGCAUCACCUGGCUCCUCCCUUCAAAGAAGAGGGAGGCAGAAAGUCCAGGGCACAAUGUGGAAGAGGAGAAGAACUCUACUUGUGAUGAUGAACCAACCACGAGCUACUGCCAGGCCUCCCAGGUGCCGUCCGCAGAGGGUGUGCGUGGAGAUGGGGAGCCCAUGCAAACUGCACAGAGCAUCUGCACGUUGACCCCGCUUGGCAGUAAGAGGAGCCCAGACAUUGCCAGAGAAAACUCCGCAGAAGAAGAGAUCUCAGUUUGCCCAGCAGUGUUUAUCCGGGCUGGAAUUAUCCAGAGACCCAGCCGAGUCCCUCGGAAAGCAUUGAGCCGGAGAGAGAAGAGCUUCCCUCGGUCAGCAAAGAUGCACCCAUGCAGGCUGGUGGAGAUGGCAGUGCCCUCUCUGAGGGCAGUGACACGGCUGCUGACCACGUUCCAUGCCCACUGUGUGACCAAGGCUUCCCUGCUGCAGAGAUCGAGCUGCACGCCAUGUACUGCAAUGGCAUCGUGGGAGAGGAAGCUGCCACGGACAGCCCAGGUCUGCCAUGUGCUGUGUCUGUGCCUCUGCUCUCUGUGCUGGUCCCCCCUUCCCUGCUGCUUGCAGCUAGGUGCUGAGUCCUGUUCCUCUCAGGGUAUUUGUGUGUGAUGUGGCAACUUAGGUUUGUCUGCCCUGCCUUGGUUCGUCUCCAGGCUGGUCAGGAGAACGCUGUUGGAGACUCUGGAGGUUUCUAGAGCCUUCCUCACAGAGAUCUGUCUGAUGUCUUUCAUAAGUGGCCUUUUUGUUAGUCCUUUGGAAGAUCUAUAAGCCGAUUAUUGCACAAGUGUGUAGCCCUGGCUACUUCACACAGUACUACCAAGACACAUCUAUUUCGUACUGUGAGAGGAGCUGCACGGAAUUUGCCAGUGGUAGAAAAUGGCACCUCCAGAGCCAUUUGGGUGAGCAUCCUUCAGGGCUCUCAAGAAAUGAGAAUGUUCUGUAAUGCUCCAAGUGCAGCCUCUGCUGUGCAAUGAGUCUGACAUUUGCGUGUGCAAAAAUGGCUUGUUCAGCAGGAAGGCAUUGCAGGAAAGUUCUCCUCUUGUUCCUCCAAAAUUGCAAAAUGAUAGCUAUUGAUUUGGGAGCUCAGUUUUUUCUCCUUCGUGUGAAGAGCGAGGCAGAGAAGUGUGGUCAGAAUGCCCAUAUUAAAUCCUCUUUGCAGCCUUCUCUGUGUCAGGUUUCCAUAGCCAACCUUUGUAGAGCUUAACUGAACAAAUACACCAGUUGGUUAUCAAUGUAUUCAAUAAGUUAUGUUUUAGCUGCUGCUUGAAAUGUAAAGUCUGUUAGCACAAUGUCAGGUAAUAUCAAAGUGGUAGCUUGUAAUAAGAUUAACUUUUCAGGUUGUGAAUAUGUAAUUUUCAGUUACAUGCUGGGUUAUUAAAUACAGCCUAAAUCUGUGAUGUUUGAGCAAUUUGAGCAAAUCAGAGCUGAUACAAGAACUGUAACAUGUACAUUCCUCUAGCAGGAAGAGGUUUCACCCUGUAAUCUUAAUGCAGAAUUGAUGUAGCUUUAAAAUAUGUGGUCCCUGUUACACAGAAUCACUAGGGAUGUGACAAGGGUCCUUUUAAGAUAACAUGAGCCAGAGUAGCAGCUGAUGCUGUGCAUGCUGAAUCCUGGUGGGGAGUUCUCUCCGCAGGCACAAACCAGCUCCUAAAGCAAAGGGGCAAAUUGUGAAUUGUCACAGUUUGUCUCCCAUCCUGAUAAAGGUCUUAUCUGCACUACAAAACGGAGCAGAGUUCUCAGUAUGCCUUUCAGCAGAAGCAUCUUUGGCCCCUUGGUAAGCUGGUCCCAAGUGUGCCUGGAUUGUGAGCGUAUCCAUUGAUCCUGGGAAUCCUGGCUGUGAUCAGGAGAAGGCUUAGAACUUCUUGCCUGUGCACGAGAAUUUGUUCAUUCCUUUGGUGCUGGCUUUCAGCAGGGCAGAGUUCAAGGCUGGCCUUUCCACUCUGCCUCCAGACUGGUCUCCCUGGGGAUGAUUGUAAGGGUGGCUAUUUUGGAAUUGCUCUGCUGCUAUUCUGCCUUGUUCAGAACAAUUCCCCCUGAAAGAAAACUAGCCUCAAAUAAUGGAGAUCGUGGCCUACAAUAAUGGCUCUAAGCUGAGCAAUGGUUCUGGGACGAAAUCACAGGAAUUUGGGUUUUCCAUUGCCAGUUAUUCUAAUAUGUUCACUGUACAGACCAAAUUUACCAGCCAUAAUGCUUGUGUUGUUCGGGCCAAGGCUCUUCAUGUGGUUCCCUGUGCUCUGAGCUGUGCACUUGAGCCUGGAGGAGAAAACAACACGGAGGAGAGGUACGAUGAUGCCUUUGGCUUGUAGGGCACCUCACUGCAGGUCCCAGUGAAUAGACAGGGACAGGUGUAGGGAACCUGCUUGGGCAGGGGGGUUGGACUCGAUGAUCUCUGGAGGUCCCUUCCAACCCCUACAAUUCUGUGAUUCUGUGACAGACACCUCACAGAAAGGUUCCAUUUGAUGGACUGAUCAGCAGGAUUUGGGAUGAACUCACAGGGGUUUAGCUCAGCAGAGGUGAGACAGUAGCUUGAUGCAUCUGUGCAGGGACAAAAGGACUGUGCUUCCAGAGCUGUCAUGUUGGCACCUUUCGCUAAGAUAACAUUCAGUGGUAAAGGUAAUGCAUGGGGGGGGGGAAGAAAAUCUUUCAGUGUUUUGUAUAAGGAGGCCAGCACAGGGUGCUGGUAUUUAAGGAGAGGCUUUCCAAUGAGGUAGCUGGGCAAGAGGGGCUACGGUUCCUUCCCUUACAGAUGUCCGUGGUUGUCCUGGCUGGGUGCCCAGACCACCACACACCUGGGCAGUACGAAAAUCUCCUCAUGAGUUUCCAUUUUCUUGUGGUCAAAAAAGGAAGGGCCUGCUGUUGCUUUAGCUGUGGCAUUGGGCCGAGGAAGGCUCACAUCCCAGGUUUCCAGCUCAGUGACUGCUGCUAAUUCCAAGUGAAUGAGUGAAGCGGCAGAAGCGUUGUUCCAGCUCCUUCCUGCAGCCAGCUGAAGGGCUUACAUGUGUGAGAGGAUCUCCACGGAGCUGCCGAGCCGUUGCCUGCCGCUGCCCUGCAUGAAGCUGACGGUUUCCCCCUGGAUGUGAGCCUUGGAUGGUACUGAGCACAUCAAACACACUGUUCCCGCCGUCCUCUGCUGAUGCACUCCCAUCUUCCCAGUUCCCACGCGAGCCUGGGAAAAUGAGAAUUUGGUCUAUUCCUUCUUCCCCAAGCCCCAGUACAACCUGGUGCAGCUGUCAAUCUUCAGAGCAACAGCAGCAGCAGUGCCGGUGCAGUUAAAAACCUCAUGACAUUAAUAAAGUGGCACUGAUACAAAGAGCAGUGGAGUGGAUGCAGAGAAAAGCUUCACCACUUCUUAAAGACAAGAUGCCCGCAAUGCUGCCACUGCUGGGUCCCACACGUAAAGCACUGUGGCUGGUAGGGAGAGCAGGGGAAGGAGGCUGCUGUGUGCUGGCAGGGCUGUCCUCACCAGCGCUCCCAAGGAUGCAGACAGUGGGGGCCAGCCCUGCUGUGCCUCCAGAGCUGCUGGCACCGCUGUCCCCAUUCUCUGCCCCACGCUUCUGUCAGCAUCGCAGCUGGGGGUCCUCCCCGGGCAUCUGCAAGCUGGGUCCCAGAGAUCUCUAAUGGGCCCAUUAUGCCAGAUGUGUUCACUGCUUUUGAAAGAAAAUAGAACUGAUUAACACCUGAGCUAGUGCACGAGGCUCCCGAAAUGGUGCUAAAGGAAUAUUAACAAGUGCACGCUGCUUCAGAGAGCAGCUUUCAGCACGCUGUCAAAUGCAUGUCGGUGGGGCUGCGGGCAUGCUGGGUGGCUGGGGGCUAGCUGUGGCCAUCAGUCCUCCUCAUCAGGCUGCCACUUCGAAUCUGGGCCAGGCCAAGUCAAUGAGACGUCCGCCUGUGAGAAAUGAGCUGCUGGAAUCAGCCAUCGCCCAUGAGACAAUGCCCGCAGCCCAGGAAUGAUCUGGAAAGGGAAUUUUGCUAAAACUCUGAAGGAUUUCCUUUGUGCUGCACAAAAUUUUGUGCCUUCCCAUCUUUAUCACAGCUGAUGAGCCAACAAUCGCAGCUUUGCCUUGCCUGUAGCUUGGACUCUGCCCUCUCCGAUUGCACACAGUGUGGCAGGCGAUUUUCCUGGGCGGUGCAGCAGCUCCGUGCAUUGCUCCUGUGUCCCACGACAGCUGCUGUGGAGCUGGAGUCUUGGAUGUCCCUGGUGGAGCAAGCUAAGCUGUCUGAUGUGCUCCCUAAGGAUCUUUGCUGGUGGUGUGUCAACAGAGAUAUGCUGAGAGGAAGUCAGCUGAAAGAGACAACGUUUAGACAUGCUCCCUGCAAAUGCCCAGAGAGCAGGUUUGCAAGGGCUGCUCGGGCGUGUGAAAGGAGCAGAAGCUGUCAGCCCUGCUGUCAGCGUGCUGGUGGGGCUGGGGUCUCUCUGGCCACCUACAGAUCCUUGUGGGUCCCUUCCAACUUGGGGCGUUCUGUGAUUCUCUGGUUCUUCCCUGCAGCCAUUGGAGAGCAGCGCCGGUGCGACUCUUCAUGGAGAGCUGUGUGCAGGCAGUCUAAAGAUCCCCUCUGUUUUGCAUGGGAAAGGAGGACUGAUGGCCUGCAGGGCUGAAUGUUGUAAACUUCCCUUCCCAGCAAGACUUCCUCCUCCUACCCAACCUGCAGGCUGGUGCCCCUGUGCUCUCCCUACGGCAGGAAGGGGUUUGCUUUGGCAGUGAGCAGUGCAGCCAUGCUGGAGCAGUGGUGCAUCUCCUCUCCCAGGCUGUUGUGCUGCUGUGUGUCAACUUUAAAAUGACUGUGAGCUGUGUGCUGUUGGGUCAGCAGUUUCUGUCAGAGGACAGGUUGGACUGUGACACGGCGUGCUGUCUUCCAAGGCCUGGAAGAUGACUUCUUACAUAUCCCUGUGAAAACUGUCCAGCUGCCCCUUGGCUGGAAGGAAGACCUGCCCAUCCCAGUCCAGUCGUUGUCUCGCUUUGCAUCGCUCAACUGCAGUGCUGAGUGAAAGAGAUUGAAAGGUGCUGUGUUUGGACAUCCUGCAGGGUGGCUGGGGAUGGAUGGCAGUAACCAUUUCUGUUUUGCUUCCAGUGCUCACUCGGGGUCGGAGAGAGUCACAGAGUAAAGCUGCAGGUGGUGAAAGCAGCCAGAUAUCCUCAGGUUCUGACAAGUAAGUAGGUGUGAGAAGUGCUACCUCUGUAAGUCACUGGUGC